GUCAUGUUGGUGUAACGGUCGUUGCUGCAACAAUCCUCUCGAUACAGCCCAUGUUCCUAAACACGAUGUUCGCAACAAAUAGUUUUUUUUAGCACUCGGUAGAAACGAGGAUACAAAACUCCGCACCACGUUUUGCUCGGGAGAUUGCAUGGGCCCUGAAAGAGAAGGGGGUUUGUGUUGGUUCAAUCCGAAAUACAAGGAUUUAGUGUGUUGUAAAAUUGGAGAGAGAAUGGUGCUAUUCCAACCUAGUAGAGCUUUUCUAAUUUCGCUGAUAUCUGUGCUGCUGGUUUCCUUCGCAGAAUUGGCGCCCUUCCGCG
rnacentral:sRNA from 1 species